CAGAAUUCUAACGGGUGGGGGCAGACUGGCUUGCCAAGAUGGAGACCACGACUGGGAUGGGGUGCAGGGCUGAGGCUCUUGGCUCCUGCAGAUUUGAAGUUGGCUGAUUCAAGUCAGAUAGAAGCUUGCGAAUUCCACCUGCUUCAGCAGCAGGGAGCUGUACAGAAUGAAACAUCAGUGCACAGGAUCCAUGUGCUCCUGAUUGCAUCUUCUGUCAUUGUUCAGCUCUGCAGUUACUUUGGAAUGGCUUCUUUCUCACGUAACCUGUUUGCAUGGUGGCCCAAAAGGCUAUUAGCAGCUCUGAGACUUUGCUUUUACAAUAUUAGCUUGAUGCAAAAGUAAUUGCGGUCUUUGCACUGUUAAAACUUGCCAUUUGAUAUUGGAACACAUUCUGAAUAAAUGUGG
rnacentral:lncRNA from 1 species